AUAAAAAGGGAAUGACCAAACUACUCCUUUACUAUAUCUCAUGAUUGCUGUCAGAUUGCAGUCAGAUACCAAAGCGAUCUUAAAUGCAGAUUUGGGGAUUAAUCUGUCUUGGUUUUCUCCCGUCCACCCACCUUCGCCGCAGAGAAGGGAGCAAUGAUCACCAAUCUUCUUUCAGCUAAAGCACUCAUCUUCAUCUGUAUAGGGUGUCAUAUCAUCUUGUGGAAGACAAGGUUUAACCACUAAACUGAGAGAUGAAUCGUUUCACAGAAAUAUGUAUGGACAGAGCAUAACACAGUUUAGUCACUACAAAACAUUCAAUUCAGAACAAAAGAGUUAAACUCACAAAAGGGUAGAUUCCCCAUGUAACAGCUACACAAGAGAUCAUCAAAGAGUACGAACCAAUUAACACUAAAA